UGAAUAUAAAGAAAAGAACGGGCAGAUGAGUUUAUAUAGUUACAGAGCGGAUCCAAUUAUUACUUUUUGAAAAGUAAUAUGAGGAGUUCAAGAAAUCGAGGCAUGACAUUUAUUCUGACCGAACUGCUAGUCUUAAUCCAGAAGACAAGGACACAAGGGCCACCAACAGAUGAAAACAAUGUAAGUGAUUACACGAGCACAUAUUUAAUUCAUCUUGUAUAGAAUCUGUUUUUUUUUACGGGUUGUAUAGAAUCUGUUAGUUUAGACAUAAUUUUUCUUUUUGUCACGGGUAUCUAUUGAUACAAAAAAUUGGGAUAUCUUAAUACUGGAGAAAGGGAGAUAACAGUGGAGAGGCGGCUUAUAAUCUAUAUCUAUACCUAAUAAUAAAGCGGCUAUUGCUUUCGUCGGAAAACCCAUCACGACAUUUUUAUAAAAAAGCCCCUGUAAUUUUUGUUAUUCAACCCGCGCUCCAUCAUUUAUCUGCAACGCAAAAGGAAAAAAAUGAUUCGCUGCAAAAAUUAUAUCCGUACGCAUCGCCUCCUCCCGUCGACCCUGGGCCACCCUGGCCUGUGCCCAAGCCGCCGCCACACCACUCGCCGCUGCGGCCGACCUCAACCGCCACCGUUGCCGAUCUCAACCCACCCGCCUCCGCGGCUAUACCUCUCCCCGCUCACUGCCCCCGUUGCGGCGCUCGAGCGCAUCGCAUCGACCCUGGUCCACCCUGGCCUGUGCCCAGGCCGCUGCCACACCACUCGACGCCGCGGCCGACCUCAACCACCACUACUGUCGAUCUCAACCCGCCCGCCUCCGCGGCCGUACCUCUGCCCGCUUGUUGCCCCUGUUUCGGCGCUCGAGCAGAGCUUCUGGAUCAAAUCAACACGACAGCUACAAUGACUUAGAUGAUGCGUCUGCUCGAUGCAGAACGGCGGCGGCGCGCGGAUAAGGCGCGGCGGAGCGAAGUACUUGCAGGUGGAGGCGGACCUCCAUGGCUCAUACGGGGAACUCCGAGGUUAUGUCGCGGCAACGGCGACUCCUUAUGGCCAGAUAGAGGCGCCUAACCCUUGAUCCCGUCAUCGUAUCCCCUCCUCCGGCAGGAACUCAUCAUCUGGUGAGAUCCCCCCCUCCCCAUGCCUCCAACCGUGUGCCAAGCACCGGCAAGAAAUUUUGUUUUGUGGGAAUUUGUUUGCUGAUGAAUGAAUGUAUUGAAUGUAAGAUUGCAUUGUUGUAGAGAGAGAGAAUGGAACACCACCUUCAGUUUGUCAUCUCAUCCCACAUUCUCUACCCCAUGAGUGAAAUAAGAUAACAGUCCCUUGAUCAAUUCACGUAGCCUCUUUGUUUUACUUUGCUUGUUCCGCUCAAUUUCUCAUCAUGGUGAAAUUGACAAUGGAUGGGUUAAUUUCUCAACAAAAUAGGAUAGGACAGACUACAUUAGUUAGUUAGCUUAUUAUUUUAAUAAAUCAAAAUGAUUAUAAAAGAUUAAAAGCGUGUGGUGUUUUUUUCUCCCGUUGCAACGCACGGGCCCUUUUGCUAGUAGAAGUAAAUAAAGUUAGAUUUUUUUAUUAAAGGUGGUAUGUAGCAAUUAUUUGAUAUGAAAAUUGUGUUCAAUGGACUUUAUAUAUUUAUUGGGAACGUUUGUUAUAAACAUAUAUUGAUUACUAUUUUUAUAUUAACAUCAAGAAGCCCCCGGUUAUAGUUUCGUCCAGGGCCGGGGCCUGCGAAAUCUUAGGGCGGGCCCUGGUAAAACGUGAAUGGGUGUGGCGCCUAAGAGUACGGCGCCACACUACAUGUGUCAUGCCUUUGUGUCAGGCCCACACAAAAGGUUAGACGGGUAAAUUUGUUUCGAACAUAGAUCAUUUUGUGAUUUUUUUUAUUUUUUUUGCAUACAGGUCAACUACGCUCAUUUUGCCGCUAGUGCAUGGCGUGAAAGCAAACCAACCCACGAAACUCUGCUGCGGCUAUUGACAGUCAGAACAGAGGCAGCUGCCACUUUGGUUGGGUUCGCGUCCUUG
rnacentral:lncRNA from 1 species